rnacentral:rRNA from 1 species
GACGAACGCUGGCGGCGUGCUUAACACAUGCAAGUCGAACGGAAAGGCCUGCUUUCCCUUGUGGAUUGCGGGUACUCGAGUGGCGAACGGGUGAGUAACACGUGAGUGAUCUGCCCCCAACUUGGGUAUAAGCCUGGGAAACUGGGUCUAAUUCCCGAUAGGACUGCAGGGUGGUGCCUGUGGUGGAAACAGAUUUUCUAGUGGUUGGGGAUGAGCUCGCGGCCUAUCAGCUUGUUGGUGGGGUAAUGGCCUACCAAGGCGGCGACGGGUAGCCGGCCUGAGAGGGUGGACGGCCACAUUGGGACUGGGAUACGGCCCAGACUCCUACGGGAGGCAGCAGUGGGGAAUAUUGCACAAUGGGCGGAAGCCUGAUGCAGCGACGCCGCGUGGGGGAUGACGGCCUUCGGGUUGUAAACUCCUUUCGACCGCGAGGAAGCCACCUGGUUGGAAGGGUGGUGACGGUAGUGGUAGAAGAAGCACCGGCUAACUACGUG